rnacentral:lncRNA from 10 species
UUUUAAUCUUUUACCUAGGUUAUUUAUGAAAACUGUGAUAGCUAUGAUUUAAUGUUAUAAAACCAGCACUGCAAAAUGAUAACAGAGACAGUGAAAAAAGAUUUGACCUAACUGAUUUCAUCUUGCUCUUAACCUACAACCUGUCCUUGGUCAUUCCUGGGCAUAGGGAGAACUAACUUUGAGAGAAACUUACUUUAUAGUUUAGCUUUGAAACAAAGACAAUAACAGUUCUUUCCCAAAACAAGGCUCCUUGUUGUCUGUGGACUAGAAUGCCUAAAGCCACAGGAUUAGAAGUUAUGAUAAUCUUAUUACAUUCAAGAUGCAGCUAUUUUCAUUAAACCCAUAUCAAUGCCUUAUUUAUUAAAAAUUAAACAAGAAAAGAUCAUUCUCUUUGGGACUGGGUUUAUAGUUUUGUAACCCCUACGUCAAAUUUUGACACCCUAUAGUAUUUGACAUUGAUAAGUACGAAAUUGCUUAAUUAAUAAAUGCAAACAAAAAUGUAGGCUGGCAAUUCUUAAGACAUUUCUAAUAUUAUUUUACCAAAAAUUUUAAAGCUAGCUUACUUUUUAAAGAUUUUACUUAACUUACAUAAACUUGAAAAAGCAUUUGACUAGUCUUUUCUUUGUUAGUACCUGAUAUGAGUGCUUUUAUUUUUUAAGCCAAUUAAUUAGAGCUCUUUUAUAUAUUUUUUGUAGUGAAUCAUUGUGUACACAAGACAUAAAUAUAUAAAAAGCUGUAUUAGGCAUGCCAAUAGAAGUACAUUGUAUAGAUUUAUAAAGAUCCCCCCUGCCACUUUUUUUCCCUAUCUUAGACUUUCAGCUUCUUGAUAACCUGUUUUAUAAACCUUGGCAAUUCUCAGCUAAAUAGCCUUAAAUUUUCACAUUAAAGGAAACAACUAAGAUGAAAAUCAAACAGCAAAAUUUAUAUCAUAAGGUACAGAGAGAAAAAGUUUCAUGGUGCUAGAAAGAGAUGCUUUAAUUUUUAGGGGGCCAAAACAUAAAAUUAAACUAUACUCUUCCUUAAAAACCCAAGAGUAGCCUCUGUUUCAAUAACUAUUUUAGUCAAAAAAUCAGGUGAAAACAGAAUUCAGUCAACUGAGAAGAAGAAGAAAAAAACUAUUGCUCAAAAAAAGACACGGUAUUAGGAAAGAAAAACAAACAAAAAAACAAAAACACGAAGGCCUUUCAAAUACAAACAUACACACAUGCAUACACACACAUCUUGCAUGUUAGACUUUUAAUUAAGCUAACUCUUAACCACUGAGCACCACAUUUAAGCUAAGACAAAAUGCUGCUAUUUCAGAAGUACGGCCAUUGCUCUUUCAGUUUGGUCUUGCUGGCAAAAAUGUCGCCUUGUUAUGUAAAUAAAGCCCCUUUGGUAGUUAAUAUUAAAAAUCAAUUGUUUUCCUUUUGUUGGCCAUUUUCCUCCCACUUCAGAGGCCUUGUUUCCCAUAAUUUAGGGUUCCCCUUCAGAUUUGAUCAGGGCAGAAAUAAACAACAAAACAGUUAAGCAAAACUAACAACGAUCACACAAAUUAUACAAUUUCUGAGCAUUCUAAAUGUAAUCAGAAAUUAACACCAGCUGGUUGUUAAAUGCUAACUUCAGUCAUUUGGAAAUAAUUUGCAAGACAGUAUGCCACACCAGUUUGUUACCUAGUGAUGGGUCUCAUGCUGUAGACUGCUCUCUACCAUCCUAGAAGCAGGGAAAAAAAAAAUCUCAUCUUUCCUGUUGGAAGCAAGCUCAAACUCCAUAAAGGAAUUUCCUGCCGUCCGUCCUCAUGGAAACAGGAAAACUUGCCUUCCUUGUUGAGGCAAUUAAAACUCCAAAAAAACCAAAAAACCAGUUGUACAGCAAAAUAAAAUUUAGAUCUCGACCAAAUUUGGGGAGAUAAAGGAUCUCUGGAGGGGAUGCUCUCAGCCCUUAGCAAUUUGUACUAUUGGUUUGAGCCAUAAAGUUAGCUCAUGCUGGUAACAAGCACUGAUAGAAGAUUUGUCAAAGGUCAGGGGCAUUUCCAUUCAGAAUCCCUCCAUGGUUACCAAAUUUUGAACUCAACAACUCUGAGACAGGUCUCAGUCAAUUUAGAAAGUUUAUUUUGCCAAGGUUGAGGACGUACCCGUGACACAGCCCCAGGAAGUCCUGACGACAUGUGCCAAAGGUGGUCAGGGCACAGCUUGGUUUUAUACAUUUUAAGGGAGACAUGAGACAUGUAUCAAUAUGUGUAAGAAUACAUUGGUUCUGCCUGGAAAGGCGGGACAACUUGAAGCAAAGGCAGGAAGACUUGAAGCGGAAGGGAGCUUCCAGGUCACGGAUAGGUGAGACACAAAAGGUUGCAUUGCAUUCUUUUGGGUUUCUGAUUAGCCUUUCGAAAGGAGGGAAUCAGAUAUGCAUCCAUCUCAGUGAGCAGAGGGAUAACUUUGAAUAGAAUGGAAUGCAGUUUUGCCUUAAGCAGUUUCCAGCUUGAGUUUUCCUUAGUGGUGUUGGGGGCCCAAAAUAUUUUCUUUCACAACAUAACAUUUCUGUUUAUUUUUGAUCACUGUAUUGGUCCAUUUUCACACUGCUGAUAAAGACAUGCCUGGAAUGGGGCAAUUUAAAAAACAAAGAUGUUUAUGGACUUAGAGUUCCAUAUGGAUACGGAGGCCUAACAAUCACGGUGGAAGAUGAAAGGCACCUCUUACAUGGUGGCAGAAAGAGAGACAAUGAAAGCCAAGCAAAACGAGUUUCCCCGUAUGAAACCAUCAGAUCUCAUGAGAGUUAUUCACUACCAUGAGAACAGUAUGGGGGAAACCUCAGCCAUGAUUCAGUUAUCUCCCACCAGGUCCCUCCCACAUGUGGGAAUUACGGGAGUACAACUCAAGAUGAGAUUUGGUUGGGGAUACUGAGCUAAACCAUACCAUUCUGCCUCUGACUGCUCCCAAAUCUCAUGUUCUCAACUUUCCAAACCAAUCAUGCCUUCCCAACAGUCCUCCAAAGUCUUAACACAUUUCAGCAUUAACUCAAAAGUCCACAAUCCAAAGUCUCAUCUGAGACAAGGCAAGUCCCUUCUGCCUAUAAGCCUGUAAAUUCAAAAGCUAGUUAGUUACUUCCUAGAUCAAUGGGUGUGCGGGCAUUCAGUAAAUACAGCCAUCCCAAAUGAGAAGAAUAGGCUGAACCAAAGGGGCUACAGGACCCAUGCAUGUCCAAAAUCCAGCAGGGCAGUCAAAACUUAAAGCUCCAAAAUGAUCUCCCUUGACUCCAUGUCUCAUAUCCAGGUCACACUGAUGCAAGAGGUGGGUUCCCAUGGUCUUAGGCAGCUCUGCUUCUGUGGCUUUGCAGUGUACAGCCUCCUUCCUGACUUCUUCCAUGGGCUGGUAUUGAGUGUCUGUGGCUUUUCUAAGAGAAUGGUGCAAGCUGUUGGUGUAUCUACCAUUCUAAGGUCUGGAAGAUGGUGGCCCUCUUCUCAUAGCUUCACUAGGUGGUGCCCCAGUAGGGACUCUGUGUAGGGGCUCUGACUCCACAUUUUCCUUCUGUGCUGCCCUAGCAGAGCUUCUCCAGGAGGACCCCAUCCCUGUAGCAAACUUCUGCCUGGUCAUCCAGGCAUUUCCAUACAUCUUCUGAAAUUUAAGCAGAGGUUCCCAAUUCUUGACUUCUGUGCACCCACAGACUCAACACCAUGUGGAAGGUGUCAAGACAUGGAGUUUCCAUCCUUUGAAGCAACAGCUCAACCUGUACCUUGGCCCCUUUCGGCCAAGAGAAGAUGGGAUGGAGGGCACCAAGUCCCUAGACUGCAUGCAGCACAGGAACCAUGGGGCCAGCCCAUGAAACCCAUUUUUCCUUCUAGGCCUCCAGGCCUGUGAUGGGAGGGGCUGUCAUGAAGACCUCUGACAUGCCCUGGAGACAUUUUCCCCAUUGUCUUGGGGAUUAACAUUCAGCUCCCCAUUGCUCAUGCAAAUUUCUGUAGAUGGCUUGAAUUGUUCCUCGGAAAAUGGGAUUUUCUUUUCUAUUGCAUUGUCAGGCUGGUAAUUUUAUGAACUUUAUGCCAUGCUUCCCUUAUAAAACUGAAUGCGUUUAACAGCACCCAAGUCACUUCUUGAAUGUUUUGCUGCUUAGAAUUUUUUUCCUCCAGAUACCCUAAAUCAUCUCUUCCAAGUUCAAUAUUCCAUAAAUUUCUAGGGUAGGGGCAAAAUGCUGCCAGUCUCUUUGCUAAAACAUAACAGGACUCACUUUUGCUCCAGUUCCGAACAAGUUCCUCAUUUCCAUCUGAGACCAACUCAGCCUGGAGUUUAUUGUCCAUAUCACUAUCAACAUUUUUGGCAAAGCCAUUCAACAAGUCUCUAGGAAGUUCCAAACUUUCCUAUAUUUUCCUGUCUUCUUCUGAACCCUCCAAACUGUUCCAACCUCUGCCUGUUACCCCGUUCCAAAGUCACUUCCACAUUUUCAGGUAUCUUUUCUGUAGCACCUCACUUCUGGUACCAAUUUACUGUAUUAGUCCAUUUUCAUGCUGCUGAUAAAGACAUACUUGAGACUGGGCAAUUUACACAAGAAAGAGGUUUAAUGGACUUACAGUUCCAUGUGGCUAGGAAGGCCUCAAAAUCAUGGCAGAAGGCAAAAGGCACUUUUUACAUGGCAGUGGCAAGAGAAAGAAUGAAAGCUAAAUGAAACGGCUUUCUACUUAUCAAACCAUCAGAUUUCGUAAGACAUAUUAACUACCAAGAGAACAGUAUGGGAGAAACCUCAGCCAUGAUUCGAUUAUCUCCCAUUGGGUCCCGCCCACAACACAUGGGAAUUAUGGGAGUACAAUUCAAGAUGAGAUGUGGUGGGGACAUAGAGCCAAACCAUAUCAGUCUUCUUCACUGAAUUUCAGCUGCGUGAAGAACUUUUUAUGGCUUGAAUAUAAUUGUUUCUCUAUCACUUAGAAUAUUUGCUGGCAAAUACUAGGUAUUCGUGAAAUCUUUUUGAAUAAAUAAUUAGAGGUUAAUAUAUAUUUGUAUUCUAGAUAGUAUAUAUGAUUUAUAUAUUAUCUAUGUAUUAAAUAUUAUACAUAAUAUAUAAUAUAUAUUACAUAUACAUUAUAUAAUGUAUGUGUAUAUUUUAUACAUACAUGAGUGUAUACACACACUUCCACAUAAAUUUGAAAAUUACAUUAGAACAGUGAUGGUAGGUGUUUUAGUUUUAUGCUCCCUUAACCUAGUACAAUAUCUGAUUCUUGGUAAAUAGUAGUUGAAUACAAUGAAACAUCAGUGGCAUCCUAUUCAUAAGAUUAAUCAGUUCGUUAUAUCAUUGUUUAUAAAUCUAGUGUGAAAUGUAGUAAAUAUCUACUAGCUCAAAAUAUUUAAAUUACUGAAACUGGAUAUAAUAAAAAUAUUAAAGCCACUUAAAACUUUAAAAUAAACUAUAUUAUGCAUUCGUAGUUCUAUUUAUAUGUCCAUUUUUCAUAAUUUUCUUCUAGGGGGGAGGGGCCAAGAUGGCCGAAUAGAAACAGCUCUGGUCUACAGCUCCCAGCGUGAGCAACUCAGAAGAUGGGUGAUUUCUGCAUUUGCAACUGAGGUCAUGAGGAUGGAGUUCUCAUGAAUGAGAUGACUGCCCUUGUAGAACAGACUCAAGAGAGACUCUUGCUCCUUACAUCAUGUGAAGACACAGAAAGAAGGUAUCAUCUAUGAAUCAGGAAACCGUUCCUUGAUCUUGGACUUCCCAGUCUCCAGAACUGUGAGAAAUAAAUGUCUCUGGUUUAUAAGCCACUUCAUUUAUGGUAUUUUCUUAUAGCAACCUGAACAGACUAAGACAAAGGAUAACUUGCUUUACUCAAAGUCUGCCUAUGUAAAUGUUAGUCUUAUCUAAAAAAUAUCUUCACGGCAACAUCUAGACUGGUAUUUGACCAAAUAUCUGGAUAUCAUGGCUUUGCCAAGUUGACAUAUAAAUUUAACUAUCACAAGUCCACCCUUUGUCAACUUGGCAUUGGUAUACAUAUCCUUAAACUUUACAUACUUAAUCUCCAAAUAGAAAUAAAUAACAAUGUCGUAUUUCCUCCUAACAUGAUACAACCAUCCUGCAUACAACCUGAAAUGCAUAACCUUUUUUUCCAGAAAAGGAUACAGAGUGCUUGGGUGAUGUUCACUCUUCUCCUUAAUAUCUUGUAACUUAAAUAUUAUAAUAUUAAGCUAGCAAUACUU